AAAUCCAAGGGGGCUGUAGACUUUCUACAGGCACUGUAUGACUGCAUCUACACUUCAGGUGACUGCAUCUACACUUCAGGUGACUGCAUCUAUGACUGCAUCUACACUUCAGGUGACUGCAUCUACACUUCAGGUGACUGCAUCUAUGACUGCAUCUACACUUCAGGUGACUGCAUCUACACUUCAGGUGACUGCAUCUACACUUCAGGUGACUGCAUCUACACUUCAGGUGACUGCAUCUACACUUCAGGUGACUGCAUCUACACUUCAGGUG